UAGGGAAUCUUCCACAAUGGACGCAAGUCUGAUGGAGCAACGCCGCGUGAGUGAAGAAGGGUUUCGACUCGUAAAGCUCUGUUGUUAAAGAAGAACGUGGGUAAGAGUAACUGUUUACCCAGUGACGGUAUUUAACCAGAAAGCCACGGCUAACUACGUGCCAG
rnacentral:rRNA from 1 species